ACGGCCGCGGUAUCUUGACCGUGCAAAGGUAGCAUAAUCAAUUGUUUUAUAAUUGAAGACUGGAAUGAAUGGUUGAAUGAAAUAUUAGCUGUCUUAUUUAUAUUUGUUAGAAUUUAGCUUUUAAAUGAAGAGAUUUAAAUAUAAUUGAUAGACAAGAAGACCCUGUUGAGCUUUAAAUAAUUUUAAAGAAAUAGUUUUAUUAUAUUAAAUAAAUAAAUUUUAAAUUUUUUUUGGUUGGGGCGACUGAGGAAUAAUAAAAGCUUCCUUUAAUAUAACUAUAUUAAUUGAUUUUGAUCCAAUAUUAUUGAUUAAAAGAAAUAGUUACCACAGGGAUAACAGCAUAAUCUUCUUUGAGAGUUCAUAUCGAAAAGAGGGGUUGUGACCUCGAUGUUGGACUAAAAUAUCCUAUAAAUGUAGCUGUUUAUAAUGGUUG
rnacentral:rRNA from 1 species